rnacentral:rRNA from 1 species
GACGAACCGUCCGAACGUUAUUCGGAAUUAUUGGGCUUAAAGGGUGCGUAGGCGGCCUUGUAAGUCGGGUGUGAAAUCCCACGGCUCAACCGUGGAACUGCGCCCGAUACUGCAUGGCUUGAGGGAGACAGAGGUAAGCGGAACUGAUGGUGGAGCGGUGAAAUGCGUUGAUAUCAUCAGGAACACCGGUGGCGAAAGCGGCUUACUGGGUCUCUUCUGACGCUGAGGCACGAAAGCUAGGGUAGCGAAC